rnacentral:rRNA from 1 species
UACGGAGGGUGCAAGCGUUAUCCGGAUUCACUGGGUUUAAAGGGUGCGUAGGCGGACAGGUAAGUCAGUGGUGAAAUCUCCGAGCUUAACUCGGAAACUGCCUUUGAUACUCUCUGUCUUGAAUAUGGUGGAGGUAAGCGGAAUAUGUCAUGUAGCGGUGAAAUGCUUAGAGAUGACAUAGAACACCUAUUGCGAAGGCAGCUUACUACGCCUAUAUUGACGUGAGGCACGAAAAGCGUGGGGAUCAAACAGG